rnacentral:lncRNA from 1 species
UGGGAAGACAAUCAAAGCUUCGGGUACAUUUCGCUACCCGAUGGGCCAUUUAAACAUUUAUAAAGGGAUUUCAUUCAAUUGUCAUUUUCAACGCAUGCUUUCUGGUUGUAUAAAAGCUUUCCCAUGCAAGAAAGCUGAUGUUAUAACAGUAGAUUAUUAUGCUACAGUGUUUUUUUGCCAGGUAAAAUUCAUUGAGGACAAUCCCUUCACAAUCUAGAACUGGAAGAUUGGAUUUUCUGAAAACAUCGGAGAAAGACUGUCCUUGCCAUCCACACUACAGCAAAUCUUUGGAGACUUGAACUUUGGGUUCAUAAUCUCACAACUGAGAAGGGUCCCACCACACUCCUGGAACUGUGCACCCAUUGGAAACCUUAAGGUAAAACUAACCAGGAAUGUUUCUCCCCAGAAAAAGAUGGCAUCCUUGAUGUCAACAACUUUUCCCGAGAUCACAGAUCAAGACUUCUAUUAUCAUCAGACUCUUAUCUUUGAAUAUUUUUUCUUUGUUUAUGCCUCUAUAAAAAGGGUGUCUAUUAUUUGAACUUAUAGGGCAUAUUUUAUUUGUGAAGGAAUUUGCAGCCAGUCUUAUACAUGAAUAACCUUAUACUUUAAUAGAUAAAAGAUGAAAGCCCAAUGUAGGUGAGAAACUUCGGGGGUCAAAACUCCUCUUAAUCCACAUCAAGGAUUAAAGAGAACAGUGCCAGGAGGCCUUCACUCUUCUAGAAGGACAUCAUUUGUUAGGUCCUUUUUCCAUGAUUUAGAAUAAAAGAGACAAUAAUUAGAAAUGUCACCCUCACAAUAUGCUCUACAGCAAAUUCUACCUUAAAGGCUAUCAUUACACAACAGACUUUAAAUCCUCUUGUGAAAGUUAUGCUAAAUAAUACAAUUGGCUAAAUAGAAAAGUACCUGUGCAGAUGCUGACACUAGUGGCCUAUGGAGAAAUACAUCAAAUGUAGAUUAUAAAAAUUCAUUUGUAGGGUUUCAAUAAAAAGGACACUUAGUCAAAUGAGUAGAUUCUUCAUCUAGCUCAUUCUUUAAUCUAUUUAAUUUUAUGUGGUUUGGUUUAUGGGGACUCUGGAUAAGGCACAUACUCCAAACUCUUGGUAUUAUCCUCCUGAUGGUCACAGUAAUAGUCUCCCUGGUGCGCUGUAUUCUCUUAAAGGUUUUAAGUAUUUGCAUGCAGCCAUCUCUAGAACAUCAAAUGGUCUCUCUUCAACUAGAAUGACAAAAGCUGAAAGAAAUGUGUGACCAUGAGGACACCAUAAACUAUGAAUGACAUACUGAGACCAGAAACCCAAAAUGAUGGUAACUGAGAGUAGUGCUGAGGCCCUAAGUUUUGGUCACACUCUCACCGAAGUGAGAACCUGGCUGAAAAGGGGGAGUUUUUUUUUUUUUAAACGAAAUUAUGGGAGGCCAUUAUUUUGGACUGAGCUUAUGCACUAGGCCCCAACAAACCAAACCAAACUAAAAUGGAGUCACGUGUGCUAAAUGUGACAUAACCAAACUAAGGCUUUAAGAAACACAUAGAUCCUAGAACAGAUAGGGUUUUGUUUUUCUCCUGUGGACAGGUUGUUCCAGCAUAAGGAGGUACCCUCUACUCAGUCCUUAUUCUCUCCUUGCAAAACACACUAUUCUAUUGUUUCCCAGUGAGUUUCAAAACCAUAUAAGUACAUUUACGAUAGUAAUAGUAACAUGAAUGACUAAGAUUUUGGUCAUUUUCUCAAAAUUGAGAAAAUGACCAAAAGUGGGGAAUUGUUAAAGCAAACUAAAUAUGGCCUGAGAAGGACUCCAUACUUCUCUAUUUGAGUCCUUGUGAAUGAACUGUAACCUAGCUUAAUAGUCAGACAAAAUUGAAAACCUAACUUAAUACUAUGCACCUGUAACAAUGGCUGAGUGUUGGCCAAUCCCAGUGGCCAUACUUCAACCACUCACAGACUGCUGAAUGUUCAAACUGCAUUCAAAUAAGGCAAACGUCAAGCUUAACCAAUCUCACUGUUUCUGUACCUCACUUCCAAUUCCUGUAAGUCACUUCACCUUUUUGUCUAUAAAUUUGUUCUGACCAUGAGGACCACGAGGCACCCCUGGAGUCUCUGUGAAUCUGCUGUGAUUUUGGAGGCUGCCCGAUUCAAGAAUCUCUCAUUGCUCAAUUAAACUUCUUUAGAUUAAUUCAGCUGAAGUUUUUCUUUUAUCAAUAGAAAUAUGUUACAUAAAUGGAAACCACUAAACAUAAAACAAAACAAGAAAACCAAGGGCCUUGUACAACUGGUAUACAAUGUAUAAGAAAAAUGUAUACCUUUACUUUGAUACCAAAUGUGAAAAUAGGUAAAACCAGCUUAGUGGAGAUGAUAAAACUGAUUGUACAUAGUUUUUUCACUUGGUCAAUAGAGACAAUGACCAGGGUUUAUCUAGUUUCCUAAACAAAUUAUUUUGCUUUCUUAUGUGCAAAUAUAUGAUUAGAAUGUAGUAAUGCGGUGGAAAAGUUAACUUUUUCUGUCCAUUUCUCACAUGAAUUAAAAUCCGAGCUGUGGUCAAUGUGGAGUAGCUUUCUGAUGCAAUAACCUGCUUAGAUGCCUGCAUGGGGUGCCUCUAAUUCUUCAUAUCUGGAGUCACAAACCCAAUCCUAGAGUUUGUGAUCAGUCCAGUUUCCAAUGAGGAGGGAGUUAAACAACUUAGUGUUGCCAGCAUUGUAAUACCAGCAAAACACUUGUAUAAUAUAUACUAUGUGCCAGGUACCAUGUUGAACACUAAUAUGUAUAUAUACUCAAACUCAUGAAGUUAACGCUAUUAUCUGAAUUUUAUAGAUUUGGAAACUGAAGCACAGAUAGCAUAAGUAACUUGACCACAGUCAUAUAUCUACUACAUUGCAGAGCCGGGAUUCAAAUCUAGACAGGCUGGUUUCAAAGUCUAGGCUCUCAAUUGCUGUACCAUUUGCUUCUUCUAUAUUACGGUGCUUCUGUAGUAUGUCAGCUCCUUUGGUCUUGCUCUUAACUUUUGGCCUAUGAUAUACUGCUCUUUCCUAGUUACUGCUACCAGUAUUGAUAACAGUAUGCUACUAUUUUAUUAUUAAAAUGAAAAAUUUAUACGUGAAAAAUCUUAAUUUAAAUAUAUAGAUUAAUUGAUCAUUAUAACAUUCAUAUGGAGAGGUCAAAGUGAGCAUUGUUAUCUCAUGCUACACAGUUGAGAAACUGCAAUUCAGUGCUUUACCCAAAGUCAUCCAAAUAGGAACAUGCAAAGCCAAGACUUGAACACAAAUCUUCUGAUUGCAAGCACAGAGCUCAUUGACCACACUGUACCUCUUUCUUACAAUAUGGCUUUCUUAGUGCCGGUUUUCUCUCUGAGGACCUGUUUCUUCCUUUAGCUAGCUACACAGAGACUGCUCACUCCUUCAUGUGUUAUCUGCCCUCACCUAUGGCAGGCAUAUCAAAGAUAAUCACCUCAGAAUUAAAUACAACGUUUGUGCAAGAGAUGUGCCCAGACAGCAGCAGGGGAUCAUUUGGUUUUAUUUCCUGUUCAUCUUUGCAUUCUUAGCCACGCUGUGCUCUUCCUGUUUAUUCUGCCGUUUCAUGGUUUGUAAGGAAUUUGAUUGAUUAGUUUUAAUUAGUGUUCUUGGUACUUAGAAAAGGCCCCAACCUUCUUUCAUUGCAAAAUUAAUAAAUACUAGGAAGGAGAGGCUUCUAAUAGCAUUUGAGCCCUGCAAAGUUGUUACUGGGUCUCAUAAUCCAUUAGCCUUUUCCUAAUAGGAAUCUCCUUCAUCAUAAGUUGCUAAUAAAACUGAUUUAUUUUGUUGUUUCUAAAAAUCCAAGUCUUAGCAAUUAACUUAUAUUUCAAAGCAAGAUAUAACUGUGAUGAACGUUAUCAGAUUUCAAAAUUUGGUUUAACCUCUACAAGACAGUCAGCUUAUAGUUGAUAUGUUUCUUGAGUUUUAUUAAAAUCACCCAACUGCUUAUUUUGGCUAAAUACUUUGGUGGCAAUGCGAAAGAAGAUAAAUGGUUAUUAAAUGUUGCAUAAAACAAAGAAGUCAGGCAAAGAAUGGGCAGAAAAGUGUGAUUGGUCAGUGGUUGCAAAAAAAAAAAAAACCCAGUUGCAAUUACUACAGGCAUUUGACUCUGAAGACCUCAGCAUGUCUCGAGUACUUACUUAAAGGACCCUGACCUUUGAUGGCCAGCUUUGUGAGUUACCUCUUUCCACUACAGAUUUAAUGUAAUUUAGUAUCUUCUUAACAAUGUCUUUGUCAGACCAUAUAAGGUAUGGUUUGGCUCUGUGUCCCACCCAAAUCUCAUGUCGAACUGUAAUUCCCAUGCGUCAGGGGAGGAACUUGGUGGGAGGUGAUUGGAUCACAGGGGUGGAUUUCCCCCAUAUUGUUCUCAUGAUAGUGAGUUCUUAGAAGAUCUGAAGGUUUAAAAGUGUUGCACUUCCCCCUUUGCUCUCUUUCUCCUGCUGCCAUGUAAGUAAGACUUGCCUUGCUUCCCCUUCUCCUUCAGCCAUGAUUGUAAGUCUCCUGAGGCCUCCCUGGCCAUGCAGAACUGUGAGUCAAUUAAACUUCUUUUCUUUGUAAAUUACCCAGUCUUGGGUAUUUCUUUAUAGCAGUGUGAAAAUGGACUAAUACAAUAUGUAACAAGUUUUAAUAAUUUGUUAGGAGCCCAGAAAGAACCACAAAAGUUUAAGAACUCUGAGAAAGAAGAAAACUAAACAAUAAGUAAAAGUAAUUCCUAGAGUGCACAGAGGUAUAAAUUAAUAACAACAAAUAUAGAUCAGAUAGUAUUAUUUUGACAACUUCACUGUCUUCAUAUAACUUCAGAGAAGCCAGGCUGAUAUCUAAAAUUAUUUAACUUAUGCGUGUAAUCCCAGUGCAUUUGAAGGCAAGGUAGGAGGGUGCCUGGAGGUCAGGAGCUUGAAAUUGAAUUGGGCAACACAGUAAGACCUCAUCUCCACAAAAAAUAAAGAAAGUUAGCCAGGUGUGGUGGGGCACCUCAGUGGUCCCAACUAUUUGGGAGGCUAAGGCAGGAGGAUCACUUGAGCUCAGGAGUUUGAGGCUGCAGUGAACUAUGGCCAUACCACUGUACUCCAGCCUGGGCAAUAGAGUGAGAUUCUGUUCAAAAAAACCCCACAAUUAUUUAACAGAUUAUAAUUGUUGCCUCCAGGGUGUACUCUGAAGCUGAUAAUAAAAUGCCAUACCUUUCACUCAGUAUGUCAUAAUCAGAAAGCUCUGUAAAAAUACAGAUCUUAAAAUAUUAUGUUUAUGACCACUGGGGUAUAGAAGCCAGGGCAUAGGCAUGUAGAUAGAUAUUGUAUUGGUCCCUUGAAAGACUACUGUAGUUCUUCUCUUAUAUAUUCACAUCUUGCACAAGUGGAGUCAGUUUUUAUUCUGUUUUAGAUUAUGUAAUUUAUGUUCCAUUGUGUAAUGUUAUUUCCUUACAUUAUUAGUAAAUCCAGUAUUUUGACCAACCUGUCUUUUUGUCUUUUUUAAGUUGGUUGUCUGCCUAUCUAUAAAGCCAUUCUUCCAUCUUUAGUUCUUAUCAAAUCAGUCUUUUCUAUUUGAUGCUGUUUUUAAAUGAUUCUUUCCUAAUUUUCUCUAGCUUUUCUCUGUGCCAAUAAGUAUCUGAUCUAAAACUCAAUGAAUGUUCCAAUAUAAAUUGGUGAUAUUCUUAAAUACACUUAAUUUUCUGGAAGUUAAUUCAAUAGUUAACUCUUUAUUUACAGAUAUUAUCUCAGACAAGUGCUUUUCCCCCCUAGUCUCCCUAGGUGGUGCCAACAAAAUUUUUCCUCACUCAAAAUCCUGUAGAUUGAUUGUCUUCUUUUCAGGUUGCUGACUUUCUUUGCAGCUGAGAUUCUCUGUGAGAUGUCUACUAACCAUUAGUAGAAAACUAGUGAUUUUUGUUACUAAUGUAAUUAACAAUUGUUCAGAGACUUCAAUUUACUUCAAUUGAUGAAAGAUGACCAUUCCAUAACCCCUGUGGGAUAACACUCAGAAUGUGAGUAUGACCAUUCUAUAACUAUUGUAGGAUAGCACUGAGAGUGUGAGUUUACCAAUUCCAGUUUUAUUCUAAACUGAGUCUCUGUAUGAUUUCAUGUCUUCAAACAAUCAGUUGCUAAGAUACCCUUUGUCAAACAAUCCAGUAAUUCAAUAGGGAAAAAAUAGUCUUGUUUUUGCCAAGUCAAAACAGGUGAACUGUUCCAAAUAAAAAUAUAAAAGAUUAUGAAUCCAUGAACUCUUAACCCCUAAAAUAAUGUAGAAAAUUGUGAUCUGUGAAUGUAUGCAUUUUCCAGGGAGAGGAUUUUUUUACUCUUAUUAGAUUGUCAGCUCCUUGCACAGUGCUUGACACAUUGUUAAAUCUGAAUAAAUAUGAGUUGACUGAAGUAUGACUAAGUAAUUCUAAAAAUGAUUCCUUCAUUAUUAAAAAGGAGUCUAGGAAUGACCAGAAUUACUUUUUUUUUCUGUCAAUUUUCCUCUCUAAAAAUCUUAGUUUCUCCUUUUUGAUUUUCUGAGGAGGUGACUACUGGACGUUCUGAAUCCUUCAUGUUUCUUGACUUUUCUUUCAUACUUUCUAAUUCUUUAUCUCUUUAUGAUAUAUUCUGGAAAAUUCCUUUACAAUAUUUGCUGGGAAAUUCAUCAAUUCAGACUCCUAGCUCACCAAUCCACCUUCAGCUGUGUUUUUUCCCCUGCUAUUCAUAUUAUUGAAAUGUUUUAAUUUUGAUUUCAAUACUAUUUUCUCAUGGUAUUUUUUUCCCCCACUAGCCUGAUUUUAUUCCUUAGAUUUGAUGACCUCUUUCUGCUUAUCACUCAUCCAGGGAUUCCUAAUGGUUUCUGGUCCAUGGAGGUUCCUUUUCUUGAUUUUGAAUGUAGUUAUGGUUUGAAAAGAUAAUUUGAUGUCAUUUUUAGAAAUCCAAGAUGAUCAGGCCUGAGGGAAAUGAUACAUGUGUGCCUACCCUCUUUAGGUAGAAGUCCUUACUUUUUCUCCGAGUGUCUUUUGAAGCCAGUUACCCCCCACUUAAAAAAAUAGUAUUUCUUAUUAUAUUGUAAAAAUCUUAUGGAAACGUUGUUAGGUCUAAAAAAAUAAAUGAAACCCAUAAAAACUAAAUCACACUGUUAAAUAUCGCUAUUAGUGUUUUUGAUAAAUAUCUUUUUAUUGAAUGAGACUUUCUUAUUUCUUGUAUGUUCAACUCAUGGGAUGGAAGCAGGAGAUAUCCAUGAGCUGAGAAAAACACACUUAAGGUUAAAUUCAUGGAGGAGGACAAUGUAAUUUACAUAAUGCAUCUGGGAGUAUGAAUACAGCUAGGUUUGACAUGGGCAUGGACAAUGCCUUGCAACGGAAGUUUGCUUCAUAAUCAUGGUUC